UCAUUGCGAUUUUGUUCGGCUCA
rnacentral:miRNA from 1 species